AUCGAGCUGUCUCUAUAGCAGAUAUAGAUCCGCCUGUGUGUCGCGAAGGUCCUGCUCCAUCACCGCCCGUCUCACUGCGCCUGUUUUGUGCAAAUAUCUCCCGCUUUCUCUUGAAUGCAGGAUCCUCCCAAGCCUUUUGCCAGCUCUCCCAUAUCUCCUGAGACACGCACUGCUGCUUCUUACCGCUUUUUCUCAUCCUAUAGGUGAAGUCAGCAUAUCG
rnacentral:lncRNA from 1 species